GAACAGGAAGGGGACAGGCUGAGGCAGAGAAAGGGAGUGAGAGAGAGAGCAAAAGCAAUGAGAAGUGGGACAAAACCAUUGGAAAUGCAUUCAGGCUGACAUCAUCACCCUUUCCCACAGUGGUCAUUCACUUAUGAGGCUCCAGUGUCCAUUCACUGCCUUAAAGCUAGCUUUCUAGAGCCUGGGGAGACCAUCUCUCCCAGCCUGAAUGCCUGCCUGAAUGCCUUUUUUGUUGUGAAACAGUGAACUGUUUCUGAAACCCUGCAUAAAGGGCUGAGUAAUUCACUUCAGUUGCCAGGAAGUCUGAGCCACUUGUGAGCUAACAAUAGUUAACUUUAUCUCCCAGCCCGAGCCGGCGGUUCCAGCUGUAGGUCCCGAAUCCUAAUAAGGGCUUUACUCAUGCCUAUGAGGUUAUGAUUUGGAUGUUGAUACUCAGAAAGCAAUCUGCACAGUGACAGCAUAGCUGUGUAUAAGCAAUGACACAAAACAGUGACUGAAACAGUCGUCCUGCAAAGCCAGUAACCAUGAUGUGCCUUCGAAAGAUGCGGAUCAUCAGUUUUCUUCUCUACAUUCUGAGCUAUGCUCUUUUCUGAGAACUAACAGCAUCAAGUUCAGUGUAAGAAAAGUUUUACUUUAUCCCUUUGGCCUGCAGUGUUUUUCAAAAGAAAAAAAAAUUGCUUAUUCCUCACCGUAAAGCAAACGAUCGCUCAGAUUGGAAUUUAUUUAAGAGCAUUGCUGUGAACAUGCUUGUUCAAGGUAAAAGACAGCACAGCUUGAACAACUUUUUCUUGCCUUUGGUGUAUGUAUCUUACUCAUUGUGCCUUUAGAAACAGCAUUAGAAAUGCCUGGAUAAAAAUAAAAGCACAUCUUUCAAAGUU